rnacentral:rRNA from 1 species
AGCGAACGCUGGCGGCAGGCUUAAUACAUGCAAGUCGAGCGGGCCCUUCGGGGUCAGCGGCAGACGGGUGAGUAACACGUGGGAACGUACCCUUUGGUUCGGAAUAACGCUGGGAAACUAGCGCUAAUACCGGAUACGCUCUUUUGGGGAAAGGCUUGCUGCCGAAGGAUCGGCCCGCGUCUGAUUAGCUAGUUGGUGGGGUAAUGGCCUACCAAGGCGACGAUCAGUAGCUGGUCUGAGAGGAUGAUCAGCCACACUGGGACUGAGACACGGCCCAGACUCCUACGGGAGGCAGCAGUGGGGAAUAUUGGACAAUGGGCGCAAGCCUGAUCCAGCCAUGCCGCGUGAGUGAUGAAGGCCUUAGGGUUGUAAAGCUCUUUUGUCCGGGACGAUAAUGACGGUACCAGAAGAAUAAGCCCCGGCUAACUUCGUG